rnacentral:lncRNA from 1 species
AGAUUAAAUAUGUGCAUUUAACUGCAUUAUUUAAAAUUGCUCUAUUUUGCUUUGUAGAGCCUGAAGUUACUAAAGAGAAAGCUAAACGGACCCCUGGGAAGAAAGGUUUGAUUUACUUUAUGUAUUCAAUUUUCAUUGUAGUUAUCAGAAUGUAAUUCUUUCUCUAAACAUAUUUGCAAUAUGAUUAUUAUAGAGGCUGAAGUCAUCAAGGAGAAAAUUAAACCAGCCUCUGUAAAGAAAGAACUUGGGAUAAUUAAAGAAAAACCCAAGCCAGCACCAAAGAAAGGUAUGCCUACUUACAUUUAUUUGUGUUUACACUGUCUCUCAGAUAAAUGUAAUAUGUUAAAAUGUUUUGCAACAUUUUAGAGGCUGAAGUCAUCAAAGAGAAAGCUAAACCAGCCCCUGAAAAGAAAGAGGCUGAAGUCAAGGAGAAAGCUAAACCAGCUCCUUUAAAGAAAGAGCCUGAAGUUGCUAAAGAAAAGGCUCCUGAACCAAAACCCAAAAAAGAACCUGAAGCUGUUAAAGAGAAAGCUAAACCAGUCCCUAAGUUGAAAGGUUUGGUUUACUGUGUUAACAAUUAA